rnacentral:tRNA from 1 species
AUCCGGCUAGCUUAAUCGGUAGAGCAUGAGACUUGUAAUCUCAGGGUUGUGGGAUCUAGCCUCAUGUUGGGCG